rnacentral:rRNA from 1 species
CCUACGGGCGGCAGCAGUGGGGAAUAUUGGACAAUGGGGGGAACCCUGAUCCAGCCAUGCCGCGUGUGUGAAGAAGGCCCUCGGGUUGUAAAGCACUUUCAGUGAGGAAGAACGCCUGGUGGUUAAUACCCAUCAGGAAAGACAUCACUCACAGAAGAAGCACCGGCUAACUCCGUGCCAGCAGCCGCGGUAAUACGGAGGGUGCGAGCGUUAAUCGGAAUUACUGGGCGUAAAGCGCGCGUAGGUGGCUUGAUAAGCCGGUUGUGAAAGCCCCGGGCUCAACCUGGGAACGGCAUCCGGAACUGUCAAGCUAGAGUGCAGGAGAGGAAGGUAGAAUUCCCGGUGUAGCGGUGAAAUGCGUAGAGAUCGGGAGGAACACCAGUGGCGAAGGCGGCCUUCUGGACUGACACUGACACUGAGGUGCGAAAGCGUGGGUAGCAAACAGGAUUAGAUACCCUUGUAGUC